rnacentral:rRNA from 1 species
ACUCAAAUGAAUAGACGGGGGCCCGCACAAGCGGUGGAGCAUGUGGUUUAAUUCGAUGCAACGCGAAAAACCUUACCUACCCUUGACAUCCUCAGAACUUGUUAGAGAUAACUUGGUGCCUUCGGGAACUGAGAGACAGGUGCUGCAUGGCUGUCGUCAGCUCGUGUCGUGAGAUGUUGGGUUAAGUCCCUUAACGAGCGCAACCCUCGUCCUUAGUUGCCACCCUUCGGGAGCACUCUAAGGAGACUGCCGGUGAUAAACCGGAGGAAGGUGGGGAUGAUGUCAAGUCAUCAUGGCCCUUACGGGUAGGGCUACACACGUGCUACAAUGGGCAGUACAACGGGUCGCCAAGUCGCAAGACGGAGCUAAUCCCAUAAAGCUGCUCUCAGUCCGGAUUGGAGUCUGCAACUCGACUCCAUGAAGUUGGAAUCGCUAGUAAUCGUGAAUCAGCAUGUCACGGUGAAUACGUUCUCGGGCCUUGUACACACCGCCCGU